ensembl:snoRNA
GCCCUGAACCACUGCAUGGCUUCUGUGGUCUUAAGUUGUUGGCACUGAAGUGGGU